rnacentral:rRNA from 1 species
UGAGGAAUAUUGCGCAAUGGGGGCAACCCUGACGCAGCGACGCCGCGUGAGUGAGGAAGGCCUUCGGGUCGUAAAGCUCUGUCAAAGGGAAAGAAGUGUAUAAUGGUUAAUACCCGUUAUGCUUGACGGUACCCUUAAAGGAAGCACCGGCUAACUCCGUGCCAGCAGCCGCGGUAAUACGGAGGGUGCAAGCGUUGUUCGGAAUUACUGGGCGUAAAGGGCGCGUAGGCGGUUUGAUAAGUCAGAUGUGAAAGCCCACGGCUUAACCGUGGAAGUGCAUUUGAUACUGUCAGACUUGAGUACCAGAGGGGAAAGUGGAAUUCCCGGUGUAGAGGUGAAAUUCGUAGAUAUCGGGAGGAAUACCGGUGGCGAAGGCGACUUUCUGGCUGGAUACUGACGCUGAGGCGCGAAAGCGUGGGGAGCAAACAGG